GAAACUCGGAGGAAUAUUAAUUCUACUUUUGUGUAUACAUUUGUACAUGAUCCACCCCAAUAUCAAUAUUUUACUUGACUGCGACUUCUCCAGAAAGAAGGGCUUUAAGUACUGAUGAUUCAGUACAGCCUGUAGCUUAUGAUUCUAGCCGGAUUUAAAAAAAUGAUAUAUCAAUAGAUUCCUCUUGCCCAAAGAAUACAAUACUCACGGUCGCUCUCUAUCAAAUGACUAGACGUUAUUGUAUUGUAUAAAUGAAUGGACUCCAGGAACGUGGGACGUCAAGAUUUUGGGAGUGAGUCCCAGAAUUCACGAUACCGAAAUUCCAAAAUUUCAGAUAUUCGCGUUUCCAAAACCUGGAAAGUGGAAAUAAACCUUCAUGCAGUAUUAUCUAUACUGAGCCUCAAAACAGAAAAGAAGCAAGUCGUCAUAAAACUGACGUUUUUUUAUAUAAAUGCCGUCAAAAUUAUUUUCAAUUACAUAUUAAAAUAAAAUUAGUGUUGUGAAUUUAGUUAUUUCUGCUAUAUAUUACAUAUUGAAUUAUGGGCUGCCACGUCGGAUGCUGGCCGGGCGCCGGUAUCAAAUCAGGCUACGCGCGCGACGGCGGAAGCCCUAACUACCCAUACCUGUGCUACUCAUGCUACUCAUACUCACCGUGCUGGCCCCGCUGCUAUAACUUCUAGUCAUUGUGCCCCCAUCUGUGCCCCUGGCUGUCAAAUCAGGCUAAGAGCGUGACUGCGGGACCCUUAAUUUUUUCAUGCUAUUCUUCUCCGUACAGUUAUAACCCAUAUUCGUGCCUGGGGGCCUAGCCAAGAUGCCAAAGCUUUCUGCCUCUAUAUUCGUAUCUAGGCCAGACACCCUGGUAAGAAACCCAGCUUUGUCUACGUGAUUUACAAGUGUGGUGUAAUUUAACCUUGUCUGGUGAUGUCAAAGAAAUGUUAUUUGCAAUACUAAUUUUGUAAUAAAGUAAUUGGGAUGAA